GGAAGGGRUGUAUUUAUUAGAUAAAAAACCAAUGCCCUUCGGGGCUCCUUAGUGAAUCAUAAUAACUUAACGAAUCGCAUGGCCUUGCGCCGGCGAUGGUUCAUUCAAAUUUCUGCCCUAUCAACUUUCGAUAGUAGGAUAGUGGCCUACUAUAGUAGCAACGGGUAACGGGGAAUUAGGGUUCGACUCCGGAGAGGGAGCCUAAGAAACGGCUACCACAUCCAAGGAAGGCAGCAGGCGCGCAAAUUACCCAAUCCCGAUACGGGGAGGUAGUGACAAUAAAUACUAAUACAGGGCUCUUUUAGGUCUUGUAAUUGGAAUGAGUACAAUUUAAAUCCCUUAACGAGGAACAAUUGGAGGGCAAGUCUAGUGCUAGCAGCCGCGGUAAUUCCAGCUCCAAUAGCGUAUAUUAAAGUUGUUGCAGUUAAAAAGCUCGUAGUUGAACCUUGGGCCUAGCUGGCCGGUCUGCCUUACCGCGUGUACUGGUCCGGCCGGGCCUUUCCUUCUAGGGAGCCGCAUAGCUUUCACUGGCCGUGUCGGGGAACCAGGACUUUUAC
rnacentral:rRNA from 1 species